UGUAAACCAAUUGGUACAGGACUACUUCCAACCCCAUCGAUAGGUCUUUCCAAAUCUCAUACCAUAUCAGAUCCAUCGAAACGACCGGGUCGUUAUUUGACCCAGGGUGGAGCCCAACAUAGACGUGAGCAAGGUUUAUGCUUAUAUUGUGAUGAUAAAUUUAGAAAAGGGCAUAAGUGUACUCGUCGUCAAAUGUUUCUUCUUGAUGAUGAUUGCCCAAACAGUGCAGAAGAACCACCACCGUCUACUACAUCAUCACCGAUUUUCGAUCAGAUUCUAGCAAAAAUGGUUAAUUCGGGGGAACAUUUGACUAUUGGAGCUACAAUAGAUAAAGUUGAUACUCUGGGUUUGUCAACCGACCAAACAAUCAUCUACUAUGAUGCACUGUCGAGAUACCCUUCGUCCACAACAUUGCGUUUUCACGGGGACAAUUAUGGGUCCUUCAGUUCAAGUAUUGCUUGAUGGCGAAAGUACUCAUAAUUUUAUUCAAAGUUGGGUUGCUCAUCACUUGGGUUUGACAAUUGAUCAAUCCACUAGUUUUCCAGUUUUGGUGGGAAGUGGCGACCAUAUUCAAAGUAAAGGAGUCUUUUCAAGUCAUAACCGUUACAAUUCAAGGCUA